rnacentral:rRNA from 1 species
UACGUAGGUGGCAAGCGUUGUUCGGAAUCACUGGGCGUAAAGGGCGCGUAGGCGGCUUUAUAAGUCGGGGGUGAAAGCCUGUGGCUCAACCACAGAAUUGCCUUCGAUACUGUAGAGCUUGAGACCGGAAGAGGUAAGUGGAACUGCGAGUGUAGAGGUGAAAUUCGUAGAUAUUCGCAAGAACACCAGUGGCGAAGGCGGCUUACUGGUCCGGUUCUGACGCUGAGGCGCGAAAGCGUGGGGAGCAAACAGG